rnacentral:misc_RNA from 1 species
CUGAGUUAUCACAACUCCAAACCCAUGUGAACUAUACCACUUGUUGCCUCGGCGGGGAGACCUACCUACCCGGGACCUACCCGGUAGCUAGAGGGCCCGCCGGUGGACUUCUAAACUCUUUUGCUAUUAUGUCAAAUCUGAGUAGACUAUAUAAAUAAGUCA